UGGAUUUUCUUGGAACGGUCAAUGAAGAAAAGAUACCACCUGACCAUACAUGAAGACCACUCUGUGGGGUUUGGUCUGCCAAGAACAAUGUUGUCCAGACCUUCAGCAGCUUGCUAGAAACCAGGAUUCACAUUGCAGUCUGAUAUUUCCUCCAAUUCUAAAAGAGGAGGUGCAACUCAGCCUACAAGUGGAGCCAACAGAGUGCUGUCCAGGAGCGAGAGAAGAGGCAGAGAGAGACUGUUAGAAGUGCCUUUUGAUGGACCCACAUAGUCAACACCUGGUCAGGCAAAACAAGGUAUACCCAGCAUGGCAGGGCAUCAAGCAUCAG